ACGGAGGGGGCUAGCGUUGUUCGGAAUCACUGGGCGUAAAGCGUACGUAGGCGGACUAAUUAGUUGGGGGUGAAAUCCCGGAGCUCAACUCCGGAACUGCCUCCAAAACUGUUAGUCUUGAGAUCGAGAGAGGUAAGUGGAAUUCCGAGUGUAGAGGUGAAAUUCGUAGAUAUUCGGAAGAACACCAGUGGCGAAGGCGGCUUACUGGCUCGAUACUGACGCUGAGGUACGAAAGCGUGGGGAGCAAACAGG
rnacentral:rRNA from 1 species